GGGGUGAGGGCAGGGGUGUCUUGGGGAGCAGUUAGGGGUCCUUCGGGCCUACGAAGGAUACCGUUUGUGGCUGACUUAUCUGUCUUGUAUGGCAUGGAGACCGGUUAGAGAGCUGAGGACAGGCGCAUGUCCAGCACUGGUUCAAUCUUGGAGUAGACACCCAUCUGCAAUGCAGAGAGGAAGGACGAAAGGAGCAGCCUCCUGCCCUGCUUCUCUGCUCUGCCCUCCCCUGCACAGCCCCGCUCACCGAGUUCCUGGUCUGAAAAUGUUUUCCUUGGCCAUUUUGGGCUCACUGUGUCAGCAGCGCCACAUUGACACGGCCACUGCAGUUAUAUGCGGUGUGGUGCCGGCACCUGCAGAGGGAUGGGGAGUCAGACAAGCAGAGUUAAAGGUUUGGGUUAAGAGCAGGGGGAUGCUAUGGAGCUUCCAUAGGGCUGUAGGUGCAAGACAGGCUACAGUUUGGGCGUGACUUAUCUUUUUUGUAGGAUGUGAACACCAGCUUGUCAAAUGGAGCUCAGGCCCUGGUGGUCAUCUGUUUCCAUUGGUGUUGGGCUGUCCAUCUGCAAGGCAGAUGAGAGGCACGAGAGGAGCAGCCUCCUGCCCUGCUUCUCUGUGCUGCCCUCCCUUGCACAGCCCCGCUCACCGGGUUGCUGGUCUGAAAAUGGUUUCCUUGGCCAUUUUGGGCUCACUGUGUCAGCAGCGCCAUGUUGAGAUUGCCACUGCAGUCAUGCGGUAUGGUGCUGGCACCUGCAGUGGGGUUGAGAUUCAGCAAAGCAGAGUUAAAGGUUUGGGUUAAGAGCAGGGGGAUGCUAUGGAGCUUCCAUAGGCCUGUAGUUGCAAGACAGGCUAGAGUUUGAGCGUGACUUAUCUUUUUUGUUGGAUGUGAACUCCAGUUUGUCAAAUGGAGCUCAGGCCCUGGUGGUCAUAUGUUUCCAUUGGUGUUGGGCUGUCCAUCUGCAAGGCAGAUGAGAGGCACGAGAGGAGCAGCCUCCUGCUCUGCUUCCCCGUGCUGCCCUCCCGUGCAC
rnacentral:lncRNA from 1 species